rnacentral:rRNA from 1 species
CAAUAGCGUAUAUUAAAGUUGUUGCAGUUAAAAAGCUCGUAGUUGGAUUUCUGGUGGGAGUGACCGUUCCGGACUUGAUUGUCUGUGUAUUGAGUUGUCUCCAGCCAUCCUUGUGGAGAACUUUUCUUGCAUUAAUUUGUAGGGAUUGGGAUCCACAUCGUUUACUGUGAAAAAAUUAGAGUGUUUAAAGCAGGCAAUCGCUUGAAUACAUUAGCAUGGAAUAAUAAGAUAGGACUUUGGUACUAUUUUGUUGGUUUGCAUACCAAAUUAAUGAUCAACAGGAAUAGUUUGAGGAUAUUCGUAUGAACAUGUCAGAGGUGAAAUUCUUGGAUUUUGAUCAGACGAACUACUGCGAAAGCAUUUAUCAAGGAUGUUUUCAUUAA